UACAUAGGUCCCGAGCGUUGUCCGGAUUUAUUGGGCGUAAAGCGAGCGCAGGUGGUUUAUUAAGUCUGGUGUAAAAGGCAGUGGCUCAGCCAUUGUAUGCAUUGGAAACUGGUAGACUUGAGUGCAGGAGAGGAGAGUGGAAUUCCAUGUGUAGCGGUGAAAUGCGUAGAUAUAUGGAGGAACACCGGUGGCGAAAGCGGCUCUCUGGCCUGUAACUGACACUGAGGCUCGAAAGCGUGGGGAGCAAACAGG
rnacentral:rRNA from 1 species